rnacentral:rRNA from 1 species
UGGCGGCAGGCUUAACACAUGCUAGUCCAGCGCCCCGCAAGGGGAGCGGCUGACGGGUGAGUAACGCGUGGGAAUCUACCUUUUGCUACGGAAUAACGCAUGGAAACUUGUGCUCAUACCGUAUGUGUCCUUCGGGAGAAAUAUUUAUCGGCAAGAGAUGAGCCCGCGUUGGAUUAUCUAGUUGGUGGGGUAAAGGCCUACCAAGGCGACGAUCCAUAGCUGGUCUGAGAGGAUGAUCAGCCACAUUGGGACUGACACACGGCCCAUACUCCUACGGGAGGCAGCAGUGGGGAAUAUUGGACAAUGGGCGCAAGCCUGAUCCAGCCAUGCCGCGUGAGUGAUGAAGGCCCUAUGGUUGUAAAGCUCUUUCACCGGAUAAGAUAAUGACGGUAUCCGGAGAAGAAGCCCCGGCUAACUUCGUGCCAGCAGCCGCGGUAAUACCAAGGGGGCUAGCUUUGUUCGGAAUUACUGGGCGUAAAGCGCACGUAGGCGGAUCGAUCAGUCAGGGGUGAAAUCCCAGGGCUCAACCCUGGAACUGCCUUUGAUACUGUCGAUCUGGAGUAUGGAAGAGGUGAGUGGAAUUCCGAGUGUAGAGGUGAAAUUCGUAGAUAUUCGGAGGAACACCAGUGGCGAAGGCGGCUCACUGGUCCAUUACUGACGCUGAGGUGCGAAAGCGUGGGGGAGCAAACAGGAUUAAAUACCCCUGGUAGUCCACGCCGCUGAGGUGCGAAACCGUGGGGGAGCAAACAGGAUUAAAUACCCCUGGUAGUCCACGCCGUAAACGAUGAAUGUUAGCCGUCGGGCAGUAUACUGUUCGGUGGCGCAGCUAACGCAUUGAACAUUCCGCCUGGCGGAGUACGGUCGCAAGAUUAAAACUCAAAGGAAUUGACGGGGGGCCCGCACAAGCCGGUGGAGCAUGUGGUUUAAUUCCAAGCAACGCGCAGAACCCUUACCAGCCCUUUGACAUCCUGGGACCGGUGCAGAGAUGCACUUUCCACUUCGGUGGCUCAGAGACAGGUGCUGCAUGGCUGUCGUCAGCUCGUGUCGUGAGAUGUUGGGUUAAGUCCCGCAACGAGCGCAACCCUCGCCCUUAGUUGCCAGCAUUUAGUUGGGCACUCUAAGGGGACUGCCGGUGAUAAGCCGAGAGGAAGGUGGGGAUGACGUCAAGUCCUCAUGGCCCUUACGGGCUGGGCUACACACGUGCUACAAUGGUGGUGACAGUGGGCAGCGAGCACGCGAGUGUGAGCUAAUCUCCAAAAGCCAUCUCAGUUCGGAUUGCACUCUGCAACUCGAGUGCAUGAAGUUGGAAUCGCUAGUAAUCGCGGAUCAGCAUGCCGCGGUGAAUACGUUCCCGGGCCUUGUACACACCGCCCGUCACACCAUGGGAGUUGGUUUUACCCGAAGGUAGUGCGCUAACCGCAAGGAGGCAGCUAACCACGGUAGGGUCAGCGACUGGGGUGAAGUCGUAACAAGGUAACCGUAA